rnacentral:rRNA from 1 species
UACAGAGGUCUCAAGCGUUUGUUCGGAUUCAUUGGGCGUAAAGGGUGUGUAGGUGGCGCCGUAAGUCGGGUGUGAAAUUUCGGAGCUUAACUCCGAAACUGCAUUCGAUACUGCGGUGCUUGAGGACUGGAGAGGAGACUGGAAUUCAUGGUGUAGCAGUGAAAUGCGUAGAGAUCAUGAGGAAGACCAGUGGCGAAGGCGGGUCUCUGGACAGUUCCUGACACUGAGGCGCGAAGGCCAGGGGAGCAAACGGG